GCAACAAAUUGGAGAUGUUACCGGACAUGCGCAAUCUCAACUGUCUUUAGGAAUUGAAUAUUGGAGGAAUCAAGAAUUGUAAGCCGCUGUCGGAGCUGUUGCACAGGCUCACCUCUCUUACAAAAUUGUCCAUCAGUGGUGUAGACCCAAGUGUGGUUUCAUUUCCACCCGACAGUUACAGGGAGAUGGAUAUGGAGAUGCUGCUCCCCAAAACUCUCACUCGUCUCUCAAUUGGGGGCUUCCCAAAUCUGAAGAAACUGAGGAGCAAGGGCUUUCAAUUCCUCACCUCUCUUCGAUCUCUUCAACUCCAGAAUUGUCCAAAGCUGGCACAUAUUCCAGCGGAGGGGUUGCCUAUUUCACUGAGGCAACUUUAUAUCAGUCGGUGUCCUCUGCUAAAAGAUAAAUGCCAGCCUGGUAGUAAAGGACGAAACCUGCCCAAAAUAUCCCACAUCCCCUGCAUAGAAAUAAUGGAUUAGAAGACGGUUUGAAGAUGAUGAGAACCCACACCCACACAUGGGAGGACAUGGACAUGGUCAACUCCGACUCUCACUGUCCCCAGUCCUCGUAUGAUGUCUGGUCCAGUGUGAGAGGGUUGAAAGAAGGGACUGCCUCUCUUGCUUUCGGAGCUGCAGGGUGAAGAGCUGUGAAAGGACUGGAUAGCAACAAGGUCAUUUCAUAUCGUGGUAACAUCAACUGAAGAUGGAACGCUUCCAAUAUCCAGAUGCUAUAUACAGAUUACGGAAGUGGAUGUUGUGUUGUGCCAGAAUAGUCUUCAAACUCCCAUCCCUUCAAGCUUCUCAAGAAACCGCAGCAGGGGAAUAGUAAACUCGUAUGGCCAUGCUCUUUUUCUCUCCAGAUGUUUUGUUUGCUCCUUGAUUCGAGUGUGACGCCUACAAUGGUAUUGUCCUCUUUGCAGAAAGAGUUGAAACCAUCCAUUGCUACUUUCAGCAGCAAUGGGAGUUAAAUAGGCCCAAACUCAAAAUUUCAAGAAAAGAAUCCUCUUCCUCUGCAGCAGCUGGUGACAGUGGUGCAGAAAGGACUCAGAAAGAUAUCUAUGAUAGAGUUUCGUCAGUUCUUUGGACAACCAUUUGCUUUAAAUUUUCUGCCUAUCAAAGCAAGAAGGAUUGUUUAUUGGGUCAUGUCAAUUCACUAGGCAUUUGUAAACAGUGAGAAGGAACAGCAAACAAUGAGAUAGUUUUUUUUAUACAAAUUUUACAAACAAAAAUAUACUCUAAAUUAAUAUAA